GGGGGAAGUACUACGGCGGGCCGGCGACGGUCUGGUCACUAGGGAUUGUGAUGUUCGCAUUGUUGUGUGGACACUUCCCUAGUGACUAUGACCUGUUCCUGCUGCAGUGCAAGCGCUGGUCCAAACCCGGCCUGUCAAAAGAAUGCUGUGACCUCCUCAGGGCUCUCCUGCACGAGAAGCCAAGCCAGAGACUUGGUCUGGGGCGAAUCAUGUCCCACAACUGGUUUAAGACCAUCUCUGUCCCACAGAUACCCGUCUCAGCAACCCUGGUCUCCGAGC